UAUCAACUGUAAUUGUAAUUUGUUUUCAAAAUUCUCGGUGGAUGUCAAACCUUGAUACUCUUCUAAUUUCUAAACAGUUGUCGCGUACUAGGUGGGUGGGAACCCGAUAUAUCAAAGCAGUUCUAAGAUCGAUACACUCCUGGCAUCAACUCGGCAUUAUAUUUGUUAAUAUUUCUUACAUUCCUUUGUAUUCCUUCAUGUAUAAAAUCCUCAGCAGGAGAGUGUAUAUUUUUUCUGUGAUUUGGGAGGGAAGGAAUGCUUCCUACUCCACAUUUUUGUAAAAAAAACUACUCGCACUAAAAUUCCUUGGUAUAAGACAUUUUUUUUUCUAUUUACACAUAUUUCCAAUCAUGUGUUACAUAGAAGGCUAAGGGGAAAGAGUUGGCACAUGAAGCUAUAAUGAUUUGGUUGUGCAAGUUAAAUCCCAUUUUUUUCAUUCCUGACUCUGUGUUGAUACUGUGAUGGAAGAUACAUGUUGUUGUGCAAGCUAAAUCCCACUGUUGCAUUUAUGCAUGGUUAAUUGCAUUGCCUGCUAUUUUGAUGUACACAACUUGAUUGCUACAGCUUGAUGAAAUGCUCUGUAGUCUUAUGGAAUUAAUACAUGAUUUUCAGGGCUUUAGUAAUAAAUUUGGAUCACUAAUUUUCCUGAUGCUCAGUUUGAGAACACAGUACUGUCCAUCUCUAACAAUGUACUACGUGUACUGCCCAUAUCUGCCUUGAUAAUUUUUUGUGUAACUUGAUCAAACAUCUACUGUACUAUGCACUUGAUAAUUUUAACCAGUGCCUUCCCUGAGAUAGAAUUCCAAAUAUUGUGCAAGGCUUGGAUUAACUAUAUAAUAUAAUUUAUGGAUAUUUGCAGGUUCCUGAGGUCUUCUACUAUGCUGAAAAGGCUAUGCUUAACCCAAUAGCUCCAUUGUUUUAUAAGAGGCACAAUCUCUAAAGCGACGGUUUGUGAGGGCUUUGUAGCAGAUAUUUAGUCUAUGUGACCAUGACAGGGAAGCACACAGUGAUGUGGAGCUUAAUGACUUUCAGAAAUAUUCCACAUGUAAGAUAAGCAUGGACAAUAUAUAAGUACGGAUCAAUUUGGGAAAACUAGGUUGACAUACAUCUGCACUCAAAUUGGCGGUAUUCCAAGAUUAAGGUGCUGAUCAGUGGUCGUAUCAUGGGAUUGAGAUACAUGUAGUUGUUGCAGUGUAUAGUAACUUCGCUCCAGUAUGUUUAUGUGGUAAAUGGGGAGGCUGCGGAAGCCUUCACGAUAGAGGCCAGUUCUACAUUUCUGAGGACAAGAUGGAAGUGGAGCUGUAGGGAUGCCAUGCACUUCAAUGAUGUUGCGGCUUGCUGCUUGUUUGCAAUUGUUCUGGAAAUAAUCUGGUAAGUAAUGUGAACUAAUUGUUUCUACUUGCUAAGUUAUACCUGAAUGAGCAGAACAUUUUGCAGCAUGUACAUGUUUAAUGCCAGAUUAAUAAAAAUGGAGAUUGAUAACUAUA